rnacentral:lncRNA from 1 species
UUUUUGUUGAUAGAUGAGUAUUCUUUUAGAUUUUUUUGAUCAAUAGUUUUAUUUUUUAAAUAUAAUUUUCAAAAAAGUUUUCAUUUUUUCAUAGAAAUAUUGUAGAUUUGGGGUUGUGGUUCAGAAAUUAGGAUAACAAUAAUUUUUGUUGAUAGAUGAGUAUUCUUUUAGAUUUUUUUGAUCAAUAGUUUGUAUAUUUUAAAUAUAAUUUUCAAAAACUCUAUUUUAAGAAAGUUUUCAUUUUUUCAUAGAAAUAUUGUAGAUUUGGGGUUGUGAUUUAAAAUUAGGAUAACAAUUUUUUUUUUUUGGUAGAUGGCAGGAGACGAUAGUCUCCUACUUUUUAUUCAAAAUCAAACUUGCGUUACAAGAAAAUCUGUCUAGCUCUAGCAAACCCAUGAAUAUCAUCUGACAAGAUAGAAGCAACAUGCUCCGGAGCAAACUCAAAGUAAUGUAAACCGUACGAUAAAGAAAAAGCAUAGUUAGCUAAUCCAUCUGCUAGACAAUUAGCCUCCCUAUACACGUGCGAAAUCUUGACUAACCAGUCUCUUGAUAUGAAGCCAUAGCACAAACGUACUAGGAAUGACAGGGGAUGAGAAUCCUGGAUACCUGUCGUAAGAAAACCCACCACACUCUCGGAAUCAACCUCCACCUCUAGUCGUCGGAUUCCCUUAUCCCAUGCUAUACAUAGGCCGUAAUAAACACCCCAUAACUCCGCCAAUGGGGCUGAGCAAAUACCAAUAUUGAUCGCAAAGCCUCCUCUCCACUCUCCAUAUUCAUCACGCAUGGCCCCACCUGCUGUAGCCAGUCCCGGAUUCCCUUUAGAGGACCCGUCAGUAUUCAAUUUACACCAGCCAUUACCCGGUUUGCACCAUGCGAUCUGUCUCUCCACACGCGUACUAAUGGUCGAGCAGGGUCGCAUUUUCUUAUUUGCUAGUACCACCUCCUGAGUCUUAUCUUUAACAAACUGCACCCUAUCUCGACACUUUCCAGUUUCACCAAAGACAUACCCACACCUCCAUUUCCAACACCACCACACAGUCAACGCAAACAUUAUGGGCCAUUGAUCUCCAUUAGCCGACGUAUCGUUUGUGAGAUUCUCAUACAGCCAUUCUAAAAGUGGUUGAUUGAAGAACCGCUGUUGUUUUCUUAGGAUCACAAUUUUUCUCCAUAGUCCCAUUGCAGCAGGGCAAUCUCGAAGGACAUGAAUGAUUGUCUCAUCUCCAUUCUUGCACAGUUGGCACAUUCCAUUAUCACUUAAGUGUCUCCGCUUCCUCUCCAUGUUCGUCAUGAUAACUUGGUGCGCAACCAACCAUAAAAAAACUCUAACUCUUUCUGGUACCAUAACCCGCCAAACCCGACUGUAGAAAGCCUCCAUAUUUGGUCUCGGUGACUCGUCUAUUGUCAAGAGUGCAUACGCUGAUUUCACAGAGAAGAGACCAUUCUUACUUCCUCCCCAAGACAUCCUAUCCUUAGCCCCUGUGACAUCAUCGAUCACCACCGAAGCUAAACGUAAUCGGUUCUCCAUUGAUAUGUACGGUUCAAUUUGUUGUGCUAACCAACCUAUCCCAGUCUGCCAUAGGUCACAAGCUUUUGCCUCCAACAGUGCUUCCGGAAUCUCCACCAAACUCAAGCCAUGUAAGGGUUCAUGCAACAACCAAUUAUCCUUCCAAAACCGUACUCGGUGACCAUCUCCUAAUAUCCAGGAAGCUCCUGGAAUCACAACUGCUCGAAUUCCCAACACCAAGCUCCUCCACGUCGCCGACCAGCUCCCCUGAGGCACCAACCAUGCUGAUUCAUGUAUCUCACCUACACGAAACUUCUUACGUAAGAUUUGCACCCAUAGUCCAUCUUGUGUGUUCAACAGUCUCCAGCCGAGUUUAGCUAAGAGAGAAAUGUUCAUUUCUUUUGUUGAUAGAUGAGUAUUAUUUCAGAUUUUUUUGAUCAAUAGUUGUAUUUUUAAAAUAUAAUUCUCAUAAAUUCUAUUUUAGGAAAGUUUUCAUUUUUUCAUAGAAAUAUUGUAGAUUUGAGGUUGUGAUUUAGAAAAUAGGAUAACAAUAAUUUUUGUUGAUAGAUGAGUAUUAUUUCAGAUUUUUUUGAUCAAUAGUUGUAUUUUUAAAAUAUAAUUCUCAUAAAUUCUAUUUUAGGAAAGUUUUCAUUUUUUCAUAGAAAUAUUGUAGAUUUGAGGUUGUGAUUUAGAAAAUAGGAUAACAAUAAUUUUUGUUGAUAGAUGAGUAUUAUUUCAGAUUUUUUUGAUCAAUAGUUGUAUUUUUAAAAUAUAAUUCUCAUAAAUUCUAUUUUAGGAAAGUUUUCAUUUUUUCAUAGAAAUAUUGUAGAUUUGAGGUUGUGAUUUAGAAAAUAGGAUAACAAUAAUUUUUGUUGAUAGAUGAGUAUUAUUUCAGAUUUUUUUGAUCAAUAGUUGUAUUUUUAAAAUAUAAUUCUCAAAAAUUCUAUUUUAGGAAAGUUUUCAUUUUUUCAUAGAA